rnacentral:tRNA from 2 species
GGGGAAAUAGCUCAGGUGGCAGAGCACUGGUUUUGCAAUCCAGAGGUCACCGGUUCGAAUCCGGUUUUCUCCA